rnacentral:lncRNA from 1 species
UAUAAACCUUAUUCCUAAUUCUAGAAAAUGUUGGUCCAAGUGUAUCAGAUGUCAAAGCUUCAGAAAUUCUAACCUCAACUACUUUAAUGCAUAUGUCACCUGAUUAUUUAAGCAUAUGUCAGCUUCUCAUGUUUUUGGAUAGACCACAAGACAUUGCUGCUGUAUUUGAGAAACUCUUGAGAACAAAAAGUAAGAAUGAUGGUUUAUUGGGAUUUCAAAUAGCAUUUGACCUUGUAGAGAAUGAACACCAAGCUUAUCUUUUGAAAAUGAGGGACUAACUUUCCAGUCCCAAGAAAGAUAUUCAGAUAACAGAGGGUAAUCAAAAUUCUGAAAGAAACUAUUUAUGCUGCGAAGUUACCAGAAAUAAAAGGAAUGCUGUCUCGAGAGACUUCCAUACAGUUGACAUUGCAAUUCUUAUAUAGUUAUAAUAACUAAGGUAUUUUUCCUAUUUUCUUUUUUUCCCUUCUCCAGAUAGUUUCUCAGUUUACUAGAUUUCUUUGGAAUAUUUCACUAAUUGUUACCUUUUUGCAUAUCAGAUUGCAUUUUGUAAUUCUCAGCACAAUAAAACAAUCUGUUGAGAUGAGAAAUAAUAUUUGUCAUAAUGCAACUAUACACACUAAUAGCAUUAUGGAUGCCGUCACAACUGUCAACACAUUACUCUGCACCUACUUUCCUCAUUGUUUUAUAUGCUGCAUAACGAUAAAACUUAUUAUUUCUAUCUAACAUUUUGUAUUUGUUUAAACUAUCAGAACUAGGUCACCAGGACUACAAAUUGGACUAAGUUUAGCGCAACAGCAGUACAGGUUAUUAACAGAGACCAUCUACAGCAAGGAAAAUCACUUAUAGGUCCUUGUCACACAGUGGAGCUGGUGGUGGUGGCAGCUCAUAUUCAGAAAUAUAAGCAUUGUCUGCUAUGAGGAAGGCAUGAAUUAGUUCCUCUAUCAUAGUCUAACAAACACUAACGCUGAAGUAUUUGUCUUAUUGCAUUAUGUAAAAAAGUACCUAUUUUUAUCUUUCGACUUUUCUGUCUUUUUUUAAAAAUUGUCUCCUACACGUUAUUCAGCAUAGUACCUACCUUAGCAGUAUUGGAAACUCCUAAUGAAGAUAUUUUUCAUGAUAUAAAAAAUGUCAUGUAAAAACUUAUUAAAUUAAAAGCUAUAAUAUAUUUCUAUAAAAGCUGAAUGAAUUCCAUAAUCUAUUGCUAGAAUUAAAAACUUAAUGAAUUCUUUCUCUUUUUGACAGUUUACGGAACAGAAGAAGCACAUUAUCGAUAAAUGUAUGCAUUAGCAUUUGCUUACAAUGAAACUGCAAACAACAAGACGAUUUGAUACCUGCUGCAAUGGUGUUAGGUAAACUGCAAUUUUGGCACUUGGUUAGUUUGUCUUAUGUUUAGGCUUAGCACUGGUUUAUGGUUUAUGUUCUGGACUAUAAGAACUUGACAGCAAAGCUUCGCUUGUCCAAACAACUUUUCAUAUGAUGUCUUUGCUCUUAACUUUUUCUACCCUUAUUAGUCAUUCUUGUAGAUAUAUGUUCAGAAAAUUCAUUAUAUAUUUACAUUGCUCAUUCUUAUAAUUGUAUGUUCAGAAAAUUAAUUACUAACUGUUUAUCGUUUUGCAACAAGAGUGUAUAUGAACAUGAGAACUUUGAUGAGACUCACAGCCAACUAGCUAUAUUACUAGCCUCAAAGAUUCAAAGAUGCCUUUUUGUUGCAAGUUUUUCUUUUAAAGCCUACUUCUACAGACAACUCAUCUCCUUGAUUAAUAUUUUAGCAUUCAUUUUACCAGGUUAUGUAAAAUCCAUUUGAAGAAUAGGAAGGAUAAAUUUUUUUUUGCUUUCGUAUGUGUUCAUUAUUCAUAACAAACCUUUAAGAAAAUAAAUCAUGGCUAGAUAAAUACUGAUUUUGAAGUAUAAAGUGGCACUGGUAUUACAUAAGUUAACUAUGCAUUUCUUUUUAACCAUGCCAUACACGUCUUACUUUAUUUUCUACUAUAUCCUUUUAUCUCAGCUAAAGCUAUAGACAAACGUCCUGAUCUCAAGACUAAGGCUGCUAAGACAAAUAAAGCACCAAAGAUAGAUCCAAGAUCAAAGGCCAUUGUUCAAAGCAUGCUUGAUAAGUAUGUAAACUUCUGAAACACUAGAUUAUACUAUAUAUUUAAACUUUCUCUCAUUAUCUCAUUUUUGAAACUCCCUCUAGGUAUAUAAUUAACAAAAGAUAUCAAUAACCUGUGAGAAUAGAUAUAAAAUACCAGAGAUUGGAUAAGCUUCAGCAAAUACUUAUACAAACUGACAACAUUCAAGUAACUCUAUACUAUUGUAAUCAUGUCUGUCACAAUCUUGUCAACUCUAGAAAAUAUCAGCGUGAUAUGAUUAUAUCUAUUUAAUUCAUUCUUCUAAACCUUAUUCCUAAUUCUAAAAAAUGUUGGUCCAAGUGUAUCAGAUGUGAAAACUUCAGAAAUUCUAACCUCAACUACUUUAAUGCAUAUGUCACCUGAUUAUUUAGGCAUAUGUCAGCUUCUCAUGUUUUUGGAUAGACCACAAGACAUUGCUGCUGCAUUUGAGAAACUCUUAAGAGCAAAAAGUAAGAAUGAUGGUUUAUUGGGAUUUCAAAUAGCAUUUGACCUUGUAGAGAAUGAACACCAAGCUUAUCUUUUGAAAAUGAGGGACUAACUUUCCAGUCCCAAGAAAGAUAUUCAGAUAACAGAGGGUAAUCAAAAUUCUGAAGGAAACUAUUUAUGCUACAAAGUUAUCAAAAAU